UAUUGUUGGUUUCUCCCUUCUGACGAACCAUGAUGUCAUUUAUUUGGUGUUGUGGGGAAUCAGGACUGUUACUUUGAAAAAAUUAGAGUGUUUAAAGCAGGCUCACGCUUGAAUACAUUAGCAUGGAAUAAUGAAAUAGGACGUUUGAUUCUAUUUUGUUGGUUUCUAGGAUCGACGUAAUGAUUAAUAGGGAUAGUUGGGGGCAUUAGUAUUCAAUUGUCAGAGGUGAAAUUCUUGGAUUUAUUGAAGACUAACUACUGCGAAAGCAUUUGCCAAGGAUGUUUUCAUUAAUCAAGAACGAAAGUUAGGGGAUCGAAGACGAUCAGAUACCGUCGUAGUCUUAACCAUAAACUAUGCCGACUAGGGAUCGGAUGAUGUUAAUUUUUUAAUGACUCAUUCGGCGCCUUACG
rnacentral:rRNA from 1 species